rnacentral:lncRNA from 1 species
GUACCACGUGGGCCAGGCGCCCCGCAGCCUGAUCCCUCGGCUGAGGCGGGGUCAGAGGGCUAAGGGUGACUGACUGCCCAGUGCAUGGAUCUCAGCAGCACGGCUUGACUUUCGGGCGGCAGGCAAGGAUGCUAAUCCACAAGGUUCCUGAGUCCAACAUCCCUCCCUCCAAUGUGGGGCUCGAAUCCGCUAUUGCAACCAAACCCGGGUUCUGCCCGCAGGGUGGCGCAAUGACAAGAGCCACCAGGUGACCCUGGUAACUCCCGCACCUAGACCUACAGGAGCAGUUUUUCUGCAGCACCACAUCUGUAGCCCUGCAUGCCGCUGGCUCCAGUGUUGUGUGUGUGGUCAUGCUCCAUCCAGCCCAGCAGCAACUUUGGUGUUUGACACCCCUCGGGAGGCACCGCUUUGGAAGAGACUGGUAACAGCAGGGUGGGACCGGCUACUUAGCUGUUCUCAGUCUGAAAGGAUUCUGGAAAGGGGCUCUAUUUAACCCAAGCACUGGAGUCCAACACAGCCUCUGCCGUGUGACAGGUGUGUGCGGAGCCCAAGAUGUGUUGGGAACAGCUAUCGUUUCUACUGCUUUGUCCCAUGCCUCUGGAGCUCCUGGGUUCCUGAACUUCAAGCUGGGCCCCAUCCUUCACCCUAUCAGGGCCCUGGGUGGAGCUGACUUCCAACAGUAUACAGUGGGUCUUGGUACUUCCUCCUUGGCAUUCGACAGUUGGUGUUUUUGAAGUCAGAGCCAUCCUCAGUAGGCUCCUAGGGGAUCGUAAGCGGCUUUCUCUGGGUGGAAACCUACUCCAUGCAGCCUUCAGCAAAGGAUCCUACGGCUGUUGAUCCCCUCGGAAGUGAGACAUAAUGUCCCGGAGCAGAUGCUGAUGGGGACUCACUGUUGGGCCACCUGAUUUCUGUGUUCAUCUUCCCAGGCUCCACCUUUCAGAUCCCAUCCCUGGUGUCUGCAGUUACAACUUUACUAACCAGAACUUUGUUUCCAGCUUACGCUGAAAAGCAAAGGGUGACUUAGAAUAAAAAUGUAACAAAUAGCCCCAUAGCCCAAACCUUUUCUGCCAUGAUUUACUGUACCAGAUACCUAUAAGUGUCCAGGGCAAAUUAAACACAUCAAUAAAUGGCUUUCUUGUGUC